rnacentral:rRNA from 1 species
CCUGGUGGUUUUUGCGAGGUGGCUGCACCCGAUCCCAUCCCGAACUCGGAAGUGAAACGCCUCAGCGCCGAUGGUACUUUGUCUCAAGGCACGGGAGAGUAGGUCGCUGCCAGGU